UACGUAGGGUGCAAGCGUUAAUCGGAAUUACUGGGCGUAAAGCGUGCGCAGGCGGUUUUUUAAGACAGGUGUGAAAUCCCAGGGCUUAACCUUGGAACUGCAUUUGUGACUGCAUAGCUAGAGUACGGUAGAGGGGGAUGGAAUUCCGCGUGUAGCAGUGAAAUGCGUAGAUAUGCGGAGGAACACCGAUGGCGAAGGCAAUCCCCUGGACCUGUACUGACGCUCAUGCACGAAAGCGUGGGGAGCAAACAGG
rnacentral:rRNA from 1 species